GUCUAUGGCCAUACCACCCUGAACAAGCCCGAUGUCUGAUCUCGGAGGCUAAGCGGGGUCGGGCCUGGUUAGUACUUGGAUGGGAAACCACCUAGGAAGACCAGGUGCUGUAGGCA
rnacentral:rRNA from 1 species